rnacentral:rRNA from 1 species
GACGAACGCUGGCGGCGUGCUUAACACAUGCAAGUCGAGCGGUAAGGCCCUUUCGGGGGUACACGAGCGGCGAACGGGUGAGUAACACGUGGGUGACCUGCCCUCAGCUCUGGGAUAAGCCUGGGAAACUGGGUCUAAUACCGGAUAUGACUCCAUGACGCAUGUUGUGGGGUGGAAAGCCUUGUGCGGCUGAGGAUGGGCCCGCGGCCUAUCAGCUUGUUGGUGGGGUGAUGGCCUACCAAGGCGACGACGGGUAGCCGGCCUGAGAGGGCGACCGGCCACACUGGGACUGAGACACGGCCCAGACUCCUACGGGAGGCAGCAGUGGGGAAUCUUGCGCAAUGGGCGAAAGCCUGAUCCAGCGAUGCCGCGUGUGUGAAGAAGGCCUGCGGGUUGUAAAGCACUUUCAGUAGGGAAGAAAAGCCGAGUGCUAAUAUCACUCGGUCUCGACGUUACUUACAGAAGAAG